rnacentral:rRNA from 1 species
GCGCAGCAGGCGCGAAACCUCCGCAAUACACGAAAGUGUGACGGGGCCAUCCCGAGUGCCGUCCGCUGAGGACGGCUUUUCCCCAGUGUACACAGCUGGGGGAAUAAGGAGAGGGCAAGCCUGGUGUCAGCCGCCGCGGUAAUACCAGCUCUCCGAGUGGUGGGGACGCUUAUUGGGCCUAAAGCAUCCGUAGCCGGCUGGGCAAGUCCUCCGUUAAAUCCAACGAUUCAAUCGUUGGGCUGCGGGGAUACUGUCCAGCUUGGGGGCGGGAGAGGCCGACGGUAUUCCCGGGGUAGGGAGAAAUCCUAUAAUCCCGGGAGGACCACCAGUGGCGAAGGCUGUCGGCUAGAACGCGCCCGACGGUGAGGGAUGAAGGC